AAUUUUGGACAAUGGGGGAAACCCUGAUCCAGCCAUCCCGCGUGUUCGAUGAAGGCCUUCGGGUUGUAAAGCACUUUUGUCAGGGAAGAAAUCGUACAGGCUAAUAUCUUGUGCGGAUGAAGGUACCUGAAGAAUAAGCACCGGCAAACUAAGUUCCAGCAGCCGCGGUAAUACGUAGGGUGCAAGCGUUAAUCGGAAUUCAUGGGAGUAAAGGGUGCGCAGGCGGUUUAUCAAGAAAGGUGUGAAAUCCCCGGGCUUAACCUGGGAAUGGCACUUUUAACUGAUAGGCUAGAGUAUGUCAGAGGGGGGUAGAAUUCCACGUGUAGCAGUGAAAUGCGUAGAGAUGUGGAGGAAUACCGAUGGCGAAGGCAGCCCCCUGGGAUAAUACUGACGCUCAUGCACGAAAGCGUGGGGAGCAAACA
rnacentral:rRNA from 1 species